ensembl:lncRNA
CCCUCUGUCUGGCCCAGACCCGUAGGAGACUCUGCUUCUGAAAGCUGGGGCCCCAGUCCCCCAGAGGAGGGAGGGGAGACCCUGCUUUCCUCCCAGUCUCUGACUGUGCAUGGUCCCAGUCCCACACUCUUGCUCUCAGCUACUGCAGAGCGCAGAGUCACCUUCUGGGGGAUGAAAGGGGGCUCCAAGGCCUCAUGAAGUCUGAGCCUACCUUCCUGGAAGCAACAGCUGGACCAAAGAAGACUUCAGAAAAUGUAUUGUGACCUUUGGAGUCAAGAGCAGCCUAAGAGGAUACUGACAGGACUGUCUUUGAACAUGACAAAUCUGAGGCUGCUGGCCUGAGAGUAAGCAGCUGCCUGGACCUGACUGGCCCCUGCUGGCAGCGGGACUUGGUGGCAUUUCGUGGAGCGAGCAAAGAGCUUCCCUGAAACACAGGUACUUGGAAUGUGGGUCUCCCCAAAGGGACAAAUCGCUCCUGGGCUGAAGCAGAGAGGCUUCUGACAAGGACUGUCCCACCUCAGUUUCUCUUGAGGCUCCUGGAAUGAGGUUUGCUCCUUCUGGAGGGUAAAACCAAAUGAAACUGAAACAGCCCCCCAUGACUCCUGGGCACAUCAGGGAGGCACAGCUGGGUCGGGUCCAGGGGUGUCCAAGCAUCUCAUACAUGGUCACUAGCAGAGGUGGGCAGCCCUUGAAGGGACCAGCCCCCAGGAAGAGUUCCCUCAGAUGCUGCUGCCACAUCUGUGAAGAGGAGGCUCAUGGCAAAGAAGGAGGGGAUGGAGAUGGACAUCGGUGGCACAUGCCUAUACACGGGGGUGAACGCUACCUAGUAAGGCUUCUGAGAACACCCACCAAAAACAGAUGGGCAGCCAAGCUUCUGCCACAUUUGUCCCUGUGAUGCUUUAGUGUGAGGCCCUGGGGGGGGGGCGGCUGUGAGGUCUGUGUAAGUGUGGCUGUGUGGGUGGUGUGAAGGCCCAGGAGCACCCCUCUCCCAGGGGGGUCCUCGGGAGGAGGCAGGCCUAACCAGUAGUGGGGCUUCCGUCCGAGGCAUACCUGGGCCUCUCCUCCUCCAGGAUCCCACCACAGUUGGGCUGCCAUCCAGGAGUGAGGCCUCCCAAGACUGAGGGGCAAGGUUGUCUUGGCCCUGUCUGACCUGGUACAGAACAGGCAGGUGUCCACAGGGCUGAAUAUGGCACCAGAUAGCUCACUGUAAACCUCUGCCAUCUUAGCUGGUCAUUCUGCAGUCAAGAUGCAGUCUUUGGUUUGAGGUAACUAGGUAGGCUAGUGGAUACCAUGCUGUCCUGAAAUCCUCAGGCCCAAAUCCAGCCUCAGAUACUUACUAGCUAUGUGACCCCAGGCAAGUCACUUCACCUCAUUUGCUUCAGUUUCCUCAUCUGUAAAAUGAUCUGGAGGAGGAAAUGGCCAACCACUCCAAUGUCUUUGCCAAGAAAAUCCCAGGGACAGUAUUGGUGUGCUCUGCUCCAUGGAGUCACCAAGAGUCCCACGCAACUGAGCAACAAAACUGAAAUGGAAAUUUCCUGAGAAAGGGAAAUAAAGUCUCCAGAGGAGGGGCCGAAGCA